GGAGAGGUGGCAGAGUGGUCGAAUGUAACCGCACUCGAAUGCGGCGUGGGUGCAAGCUCACCGUGGGUUCGAAUCCCACCCUCUCCG
rnacentral:tRNA from 1 species